GAUGAACGCUGGCGGCGUGCCUAAUACAUGCAAGUCGAGCGAACAGAUAAGGAGCUUGCUCCUUUGACGUUAGCGGCGGACGGGUGAGUAACACGUGGGUAACCUACCUAUAAGACUGGGAUAACUUCGGGAAACCGGAGCUAAUACCGGAUAAUAUUUCGAACCGCAUGGUUCGAUAGUGAAAGAUGGUUUUGCUAUCACUUAUAGAUGGACCCGCGCCGUAUUAGCUAGUUGGUAAGGUAACGGCUUACCAAGGCGACGAUACGUAGCCGACCUGAGAGGGUGAUCGGCCACACUGGAACUGAGACACGGUCCAGACUCCUACGGGAGGCAGCAGUAGGGAAUCUUCCGCAAUGGGCGAAAGCCUGACGGAGCAACGCCGCGUGAGUGAUGAAGGUCUUCGGAUCGUAAAACUCUGUUAUUAGGGAAGGACAUACGUGUAAGUAACUGUGCACGUCUUGACGGUACCUAAUCAGAAAGCCACGGCUAACUACGUG
rnacentral:rRNA from 1 species